GGAUUGUCUUGAUGAAUCUCAAGGACGGUAUCUGAGAAGGGGCUCUCCUGAAGGAGUGCUCCUUCCUUGAUUACGCAUCCUAAACUGAUCUAAUAUUCUGAGCAAGCA